AUUUAUAUAGUUUAAAAAAAACAUUACAUUUUCAAUGUAAAAAUAAACUUUUAUUUUGUAAAUA
rnacentral:tRNA from 1 species